CGCGCCAUGAAAGCACAUCACCAGCAACCAGGAGGCUCAGAGUGAGUGCAGAGAAGUUUUCCUCCUCUCCUUCCUGUGUGAGAGAUGCGGUCAGAGGCUGGCUCAUACAUCCAGCCCGGCUGUUGGUGGCGUGUUGGAACAUGCCUUGACUUGUUGUACUGCCUGACUGAACAGACAGAGAGAGAGAGAGAGGCAGCCACAGGAGGAGAGGCAAGAGGCUGGUGGUCAACAGUUUUUCCAGAGUGAAGUGACCCACACAUCGGGAGAGCCCGUGAACAGACUCCUGUUGAUGCCAACAAGUUGAGUGCACCCGCUGGAGAUCACGCUGGAUGGUGGACCUCUGCUGCUGCCUGGCUAACUGAGCUGCCAGAGCACCACGCCACCCUCGAGGUGAGGGGGGGGGGGCUUUCAGUGUGAGGCCACUGCCUUCCAACAACCACCAACAACACCAUCACCACGAAGCUGGGAAUGGAAAGCGUCAGCAGUGCCAGGCUCGCAGGUGGACACAUGCACCAAAGACCAGUCAGGACCCUGCUGGGGAGAGCAAGCCCGGAGUCGGGUGGUUGGACGCGGCUGCUGUGGGUGUUUCUCUGGCAGUGUCUUAGCUGGUUGUUGUGAGGAGUGAGAAUGAAGCAAUCAGCAAGUAUACUGCCGCAGAAAUUCUUCGCAAUAAGAAGCCCCGGGAUCACAGCUGAGAGGGAGGAAACUGGGAGCUGGCACUGUAAGUUUUCGACCCUCCUAAGAGAAUUAACUGAGAUCGACCGAGCGCACGGCCUCCGCAAUAUUUAGAAAAUGGAUCAAAGCGUCAAACUUCCACACUGUCUGUUGCACUAUCAUGAUCUUCUGCUGCCAUCUUGUGACUGAAAGCAAACCUCCCGGCAUGCUUUUGAUCAAACGCUGCUGCGCCAAUUUGUGAAACCUUUGCCUUUUUUUUUCCUUUUCAUUGAGACAAAACGAAAGCCCUUUCAUUCAGAAAAUACAACUUGGCUUACUAUGACUUUUUUCAGUUGCAAAUGCAUGUUUUUGAUCCCUUAAUUUAAUUUGCUCCAUAGAUAUUUCUGGAUGUAACGCACAAACAAAAAGAAAGUGGAUAUGAUUAAUUCUUGAUUUAUGUGCCUGAUAUUUUAUUUGUGACAUAUUGCUGCUGUAGAAAAGGAGCAUUAUAAAUAAAGUUAGAUAAAUACUGAUUUAUAUAUUUUCCUCUUUCCUUACUUAACACAAGAAUUUUGUAAUAAUGCAAAAGUGUUGCAGAAAGGCCCUUUGGACUACAUUUAAAAAAAGAACACUUUUUAUUUAGUGCAUGAUGAGAAUAUUUCUGUGUGACCAAAGAUGACCUAAUGUGUGCAGAUGAGUCAGGUGCACAUUAAUUUAGGCUUUCUCACACACACACACACACACACACACACACACACACACACACACACACACACACACACACGAUGUUCUUCUGAUUUUUUCUCCACUCUAUCUCAGAAUCUCUCACCGUUAUUGUUGAUGCUCGAUACAAAACAGUGUCUUAAACUGUAUGUCGAUGGUGUGAUUCAGGCGAUAAUGCAGAUGCCGAGUUGGCUGCAGUCUGCAAGGGAAAAAAGACAAAGAAAAAAAACCCCCAAUGUUCUGCUGCACUGCUGCAAACACUAAAACAAGGGGGUUGCAGGUUUUUCUGGGCUGCAGUAAUGCAGAAGCAGUAAAAGUCCUGCUCUGACACAAGGUCACCGCUCCGAGGGCUCUAAACCGUUUUACAUCACACUUCUUUGGUAAACUGCAAAUCACAAGGCCACCAAAGAAUCAUCAGCACUCGGGACAGGAGGCAAGCCAGAUGUUAGUUGUUAGCUUCUCCUUUAUUUCUGUGCACAGUGAACUCGUCGCUAAUAGAAAUGUAAUUUCAGGCAAAAUUAUGCUUUUAUUUAAAAAUGAACUUAUUGCCCCAGAAAGCUGAGAUUCCAACUCUUACUGCAGGAUGAGUUACCGUGAAUUCACUCUUUAAAAAAUUAAUUGGUCCUUUGUCUACAUUUAAAUUCACCCAUGAAGGCUUUUAUAUUCAUGAUCGGGUGUUUUAAAUAACUAGUCAUUUAACCCAUGCUUCAGAUUUAAUCACUUUCACACAUUUGCAGCUUUUUCCCUUUUUUGUAUACCUGAGGAUUAAUACAGGGAGGUUUUGGAUACACAAUUUUAAAUGCUUUUUUUUUUUUUUACCUUGCAAAGAAGAAUGAAGUGAAACCAUGAAAAUAUUUGUUAGAUGCAAUCUAUGUCCUGUAGUUUACAAGAUCAUCAAAUAAUUCAAAUAAAAACAUUUCAAUGUUUCAAUUUUCUGCUGCCCAUCAUGUUCACAGCUGAUGUACUUUUAAAUUAUGUUUUGUUUCGCUUUUAUUUAUUCAGUUCCUCUGUGCUCUUUGAUGACACUUCUGCUUUGGUGCCACCACCUAUUCAUGUGUUUUGAUUGCCU
ensembl:lncRNA